CCUACGGGCGGCAGCAGUGAGGAAUAUUGGUCAAUGGACGAGAGUCUGAACCAGCCAAGUAGCGUGAAGGAUGACUGCCCUAUGGGUUGUAAACUUCUUUUAUAUGGGAAUAAAAUGUUCCACGUGUGGGAUUUUGUAUGUACCCUAUGAAUAAGGAUCGGCUAACUCCGUGCCAGCAGCCGCGGUAAUACGGAGGAUCCGAGCGUUAUCCGGAUUUAUUGGGUUUAAAGGGAGCGUAGGUGGGUUGUUAAGUCAGUUGUGAAAGUUUGCGGCUCAACCGUAAAAUUGCAGUUGAAACUGGCAGUCUUGAGUAAAGUAGAGGUGGGCGGAAUUCGUGGUGUAGCGGUGAAAUGCUUAGAUAUCACGAAGAACUCCGAUUGCGAAGGCAGUUCACUGGACUGCAACUGACACUGAGGCUCGAAAGUGUGGGUAUCAAACAGGAUUAGAUACCCGUGUAGUC
rnacentral:rRNA from 1 species